rnacentral:rRNA from 1 species
AACGAACGCUGGCGGCAGGCCUAACACAUGCAAGUCGAGCGAGGACUUCGGUUCUAGCGGCGGACGGGUGAGUAACGCGUGGGAAUGUGCCCUUCUCUACGGAAUAGCCCUGGGAAACUGGGAGUAAUACCGUAUACGCCCUAUUGGGGAAAGAUUUAUCGGAGAAGGAUCAGCCCGCGUUGGAUUAGGUAGUUGGUGGGGUAAUGGCCUACCAAGCCGACGAUCCAUAGCUGGUUUGAGAGGAUGAUCAGCCACACUGGGACUGAGACACGGCCCAGACUCCUACGGGAGGCAGCAGUGGGGAAUCUUAGACAAUGGGGGCAACCCUGAUCUAGCCAUGCCGCGUGAGUGAUGAAGGCCUUAGGGUUGUAAAGCUCUUUCAGCUGAGAAGAUAAUGACGGUACCAGCAGAAGAAGCCCCGGCUAACUCCGU